UGACUUGUAAUUGCGUUGACCAUCUGUAUAGUGAACUAGUUCAGUGGCAGGUAAAACUGAUAACUUGUAAUUGCGUUGACCAUCAUCUACACGGUGAGGUAGUUCAGCAGCAGGUGAAACUGAUAACUUGUAGUUGCGUUGACCAUCAUCUGCACGGUGAGGUAGUUCAGCCAUAGGUGAAACUGAUGACUUGUAGUUGCGUUGACCAGCAUCUAUACGGUGAGGUAGUUCAUUAGUGGCAGGUAAAGCUGAUAACUUGUAGUUGCGUUGGCCAUCAUCUACACGGUGAGGUAGUUCAGCCACAGGUGAAACUGAUGACUUGUAGUUGCGUUGACCAGCAUCCGUACGGUGAGGUAGUUCAUUAGUGGCAGGUAAAGCUGAUAACUUGUAGUUGCGUUGACCAUCAUCUACACGGUGAGGUAGUUCAGCCACAGGUGAAACUGAUGACUUGUAGUUGCGUUGACCAGCAUCCGUANGGUGAGGUAGUUCAUUAGUGGCAGGUAAAGCUGAUAACUUGUAGUUGCGUUGACCAUCAUCUACACGGUGAGAUAGUUCAGCCAUAGGUGAAACUGAUGACUUGUAGUUGCGUUGACCAGCAUCCGUANGGUGAGGUAGUUCAUUAGUGGCAGGUAAAGCUGAUAACUUGUAGUUGCGUUGNCCAUCAUCUACACGGUGAGNUAGUUCAGCCANAGGUGAAACUGAUGACUUGUAGUUGCGUUGACCAGCAUCCGUACGGUGAGGUAGUUCAUUAGUGGCAGGUAAAGCUGAUAACUUGUAGUUGCGUUGGCCAUCAUCUACACGGUGAGGUAGUUCAGCCACAGGUGAAACUGAUGACUUGUAGUUGCGUUGACCAGCAUCCGUACGGUGAGGUAGUUCAUUAGUGGCAGGUAAAGCUGAUAACUUGUAGUUGCGUUGGCCAUCAUCUACACGGUGAGAUCGUUCAGCCACAUGUGAAACUGAUGAUUUGUAGUUGCGCUGACCAGCAUCCGUACGGCGAGGUAAUCUAACAGCAGGCAAGUAAGGGUAGUUAAGAAGUUGGGAGAUGGAGCUUGGCAUUGGGGUGUUAGGGAGGAUGGAUCGCCAGUAUUGCUCGGGGGA
rnacentral:lncRNA from 1 species